rnacentral:ncRNA from 1 species
CGAGGGACUCGGCGAAAUUGCAAGACUCGUGAAGAUGCGAGUUACCCGCGGCUAGACGAAAAGACCCCGUGAAGCUUUACUGUAGCUUGGUCUUGGGGUAGGGCAUGGAAUGUUUAGCGUAGGUGGGAGUCCCGCGCAAGCGGGACGACAAUGAAACACCACCCUUUCUAUAUUUUACUCCUUACCUUUGCGCCUGAAUCGACGCAGAGGAACAGGGCCUGGUAGGCAGUUUAUCUGGGGCGGAUGCCUCAACAAGGAUUCAAUUCCGUUACGCCUCCGAUGGACAUCGGAGGACGAAUCCUUAGGGGCGGUUCUGCAGUAAUGCAGAACGCAAUAUUGAGUCCCGAUGCCCGUAAAGGGAUCGGGAUCCCGACUUCGCCAAAGGCGAACGUCGGGACUAUAUGCUGGAACAUCCGGAGUAUGUCCGAUUACCGCACUUAAAAGUGUGGUGAAAAUAUCGGACUGCGGACAAUCAGCAGGGAAGCCGUUUGCUCAGAUUUUUGGACUUAUUUCAAAUAAAAAAAGAAGAACCCACCUGCGUCUUCGACACAGGUGAGUUGGCAGAGCGAUCGCGGUUGCGCUCAGCGAAAGUACAUUGAGUAGCACCCGCGGGCGAUGGCGGAGAACAUCACCAUCAAGCACGUUCCGAAAAAACCGUAGAUCAGCAAACCGUAGAGUAGGUGCGUGUUGCGAGCCUUCUGCGACAUGGGAACCUCCUUGGUGAGCAAUAUAGCACAAAGUAUAAAGUAAGUCAAGUCCAAAAAUCUGGGCAAAUUGGCCCCUCAACGACUACACGCUCGACUCCUCCGAAGUCCUUCGGAGGAGAUGAUAUAGUCUGAACUCUAUGGCGACAUAGAGAGUUCGAAUAAUUCGAACACCAAAUCUAUGCAUAGUAAUGCAAUAGCAACAUAUAAGAAUAAACUCAAGUUGACUUCGCGUCAGCAAGAGAUUCUUGUAGGAACACUUCUUGGAGAUGGACAUUUAGAAACGCAGGAUCAUGGGCGAACCUAUCGGCUAAAGAUUGAGCACACACUCAAGCAGAAAGAAUAUGUGGAUUGGAUCCACAACGAAUUUCGGGAGUGGGUGUUGACUUUACCAAAGGUUCGCGAACGAUUUGUGCGACUUCGAAGCGUCUCGGGAAUAUAUCCAAAGUAUUACUUCAAUACAUUAAGCUCAGGUUCAUUCCGAUUCUGUGCUCAGCAAUUCUACCGCAAAGGAAACAAGGUAGUGCCACAAUUGAUCCAUAGAUGGCUUACACCACUUGUGCUCGCAGUAUGGUAUAUGGAUGACGGAUCAAUUAAAUCGAAGCAUCAUCGCACUGUAUUUCUGAAUACGCAAGGAUUCGAUCUGCAGAGUAUGGAACGACUUCAGAGUGCACUACUUAAAAAGUUUGGAAUUAAAACCAAUACACGAAAGGAUCGAGAUGGGAUGCAAUUGUAUGUGAUAGGAGAAACCAUCGAACGAUUUCUUACUCUCAUCGAACCAUUCGUGAUUCCUUCAAUGCGGUAUAAGUUGCCCAAGGUUUGGCUAACACAAUUGCCUAAAAGGUAACGGAGGCGUUUACAAAGGUAGGCUUAGCUCGGAUGGAAAUCGAGCAUGACGUGCAAACGCAAAAGCCUGCUUGACUGCGAGUCAUACAAGACGAGCAGAUACGAAAGUAGAAGUUAGUGAUCCGACGCUCGGUCAUAGGACCGGCGAAGCUCAACGGAUAAAAGCUACUCCGGGGAUAACAGGCUGAUCUUGCCCAAGCGCCCAUAGCGACGGCAAGGUUUGGCACCUUAACAUAUCGGGGUGCAUACAAAGUGAUUUGUUUCCAGUCUUUUCGUCAAAACCAUUUAGUUUAGAUAGAGACAAUAAAAUCGGCUUAUAACGGUGGACCCGUCAGUAGCGCGCCCGCGCUACCCGGCGAUACCGUGGGAAGUCAGCACUGCAAAGCAGUGAAUAUCUAAUUAACCUAAUUAACCUAAUUCCUAAAAUUUAGAAAUUAGAACAAUUAGAAAUUAGUAAUUUAGCGCAUAGCGCUCAUGACCCCGUAACGACUGACCCGAAAGGGAAGACUUGGCGCGCCAGAAAGUGGCGCCCGGGUAAAACGCCGACUCUUGCUAUAAUCAAACUGAGAUUAUGUCCCGCGUCCGCGGGACUACGAUCCGGAGCAAGAUGAAGAUAUAGUCUGCACCACGCGAAAUCGUGGAUUAAUGUACGAUGUCGGCUCAUCGCAUCCUGGGGCUGGAGAAAACAUAACCUUCUCUCUCCGACGGAAACGUCGGAGUAAUAAACGAGCUCAAAACGGUGAAGGCCUUCAUAAUUUGAAUUAUAUCGACUUGUGUAAAUCGCAGGUCCCAGGUAUAAUUUGAAUGUAUGAAGGUUAACCCCGUGGGAAAGCGAUUGUCUGAAGUCGAGCGAGCAUAUAUUGCUGGUUUUCUUGAUGCCGACGGCGCCAUAAUGGCGACGAUCGAACGGCACAAGGAGAAAAAAUUUGGUUUCCGUAUUCGGGUUGUUUUAAAAGCAACCCAAGCCAAUCCCAAAAUUCUGCAUUGGUUGCAAAAUAAAUGCCAUUGCGGACUAGUGCGUAAAAAUCGCACUACGUAUGAUUGGCUUUUACGGAAGCAAAGUGAAAUUAAGGAACUGUUGACUAUAUUGAAACCUUAUUUCAAGAUUAAGAAUCAGCAAACCACAAAAGCAUUACGAUUGCUAAGUGGCACGAUCAAUUCUCCUAAGGAAUUGAUGGUGGCGGCUCGUUUGGCGGAUACAUUGGCGCGAUUGAAUGUGCGAUCAAAAAAUCGCCGCAUCAAUCAUGCGACAAUGAUCAAAGACAAGCGCUCCCGUAACGACUGAUCUCCGAUGCAAGAUCGUAGUGAGAUAGAUGGCUUUGGAUAUUAUUAUGAAUUAUGCCACUAUCAUACGGUUCGCACCUACGGUUCAAUCGGUGACGAUUGCAACUAUGGUGAUGGUAUAGUCUGGUACUCCGCGUAAGCGGAGAUAACAAGAAAUGAGGUCCCAAGGGUUUGGCUGUUCGCCAAUUAAAGCGGUACGCGAGCUGGGUUCAGAACGUCCUCCCAAUCUGGGAGCAUGGCGUUUGGCGGCAGUAAUGCCGUUCUAGCACCAACUGUAUCGGUGAAGCCCUCCUUGAAUUUCGAACUGUUCAAGAGGGUAAUACCGAGGCAACCUGCGAAAGCAGAGAGUCCGUAGAGACUACACGUUGGCUCCCGAUGUAUAAUCGGGAUGAAGAUAUAGUCCAUGCCAUUAGAAAUAAUGAAUAUACAUGCGUGAGACAGUUCGGUCUCCUAUCUGUCGCGGGCGCAAAGACUUGAGAGGGCUCUUUCCUAGUACGAGAGGACCGGAAAGAACGAACCUCCUGUGUAUGAGUUGUUCUACCAAGGGCAUUGCUCAGUAGCAGCGUUCGGCACGGAUAAGCGCUGAAAGCAUCUAAGCGCGAAGCCGUCCUCAAGAUUAGGUCUUAUUUGACUCCUUAGAGAUUAUGAGGUUGAUAGGGCGCAGGUGAAAGAUCCGUAAGGAUUUGAGCCGAGCGUUACUAAUCGGUCAAAAACACUGAAGCA